rnacentral:rRNA from 1 species
CCUACGGGAGGCAGCAGUGGGGCAUAUUGGACCAUGGGGGGAACCCUGAUCCAGCGACGCCGCGUGAGUGAAGAAGUAUUUCGGUAUGUAAAGCUCUAUCAGCAGGGAAGAAAGAAAUGACGGUACCUGACUAAGAAGCCCCGGCUAACUACGUGCCAGCAGCCGCGGUAAUACGUAGGGGGCAAGCGUUAUCCGGAUUUACUGGGUGUAAGGGGAGCGUAGACGGCGGUGCAAGUCUGAAGUGAAAGGCGGGGGCCCACCCCCAGAACUGCUUUGGAAACUGUAUGGCUUGAGUGCAGGAGAGGUAAGUGGAAUUCCUAGUGGAGCGGUGAAAUGCGUAGAUAUUAGGAGGAACACCAGUGGCGAAGGCGGCUUACUGGACUGUAACUGACGUUGAGGCUCGAAAGCGUGGGGAGCAAAUAGGAUUAGAUACCCUUGUAGUC